rnacentral:rRNA from 1 species
GGACGAACGCUGGCGGCGUGCCUAACACAUGCAAGUCGAGCGAGGAGAUCCUCGGGAUGAUCCUAGCGGCGGACGGGUGAGUAACACGUGGGCAACCUGCCUCAUAGAGAGGAAUAGCCUUCCGAAAGGGAGAUUAAUACCUCAUAACAUUGCAGUUUCGCAUGGAACAGCAAUUAAAGGAGCAAUCCACUAUGAGAUGGGCCCGCGGCGCAUUAGCUAGUUGGUGAGGUAACGGCUCACCAAGGCGACGAUGCGUAGCCGACCUGAGAGGGUGAUCGGCCACAUUGGGACUGAGACACGGCCCAGACUCCUACGGGAGGCAGCAGUGGGGAAUAUUGCACAAUGGGGGAAACCCUGAUGCCAGCAACGCCGCGUGAGUGAUGACGGCCUUCGGGUUGUAAAGCUCUGUCUUCAGGGACGAUAAUGACGGUACCUGAGGAGGAAGCCACGGCUAACUACGUGCCAGCCGCCGC